rnacentral:rRNA from 1 species
GACGAACGCUGGCGGCGUGCUUAACACAUGCAAGUCGAACGGAAAGGCCCUGCUUUUGUGGGGUGCUCGAGUGGCGAACGGGUGAGUAACACGUGAGUAACCUGCCCUUGACUUUGGGAUAACUUCAGGAAACUGGGGCUAAUACCGGAUAGGAGCUCCUGCUGCAUGGUGGGGGUUGGAAAGUUUCGGCGGUUGGGGAUGGACUCGCGGCUUAUCAGCUUGUUGGUGGGGUAGUGGCUUACCAAGGCUUUGACGGGUAGCCGGCCUGAGAGGGGGACCGGCCACAUGGGGACUGAGAUACGGCCCAGAGUCCUACGGGAGGCAGCAGUGGGGAAUAUUGCACAAUGGGCGGAAGCCUGAUGCAGCAACGCCGCGUGCGGGAUGACGGCCUUCGGGUUGUAAACCGCUUUCGCCUGUGACGAAGCGUGAGUGACGGUAAUGGGUAAAGAAGCACCGGCUAACUACGUG